GCUUACGGCCAUAUCAGCCUGGGUACGCCCGAUCUCGUCUGAUCUCGGAAGCUAAGCAGGGUCGGGCCUGGUUAGUACUUGGAUGGGAGACCGCCUGGGAAUACCAGGGGCUGUAAGCA
rnacentral:rRNA from 1 species